AUUUUAGGAUAGCAAAGGAUAUCAUUAAAAUUAUUUGUCAUUAAAAGAUGACAUUGGGGUGAUAGUGAAAAACACCAGCGUAAGGAACUCUAAGAAGCUUGUCCUCCAUAAAAGCAAUGAAAACCCUGGCAAAGAUUGUCAACAUGUACUUUGCAGAACUCUUGAAAUUAACCACAGACUUACAGCUAUCAGGGGAACUCUUAGUCCAGAAAAAUGGCUGAAUAUCAGUAAAAACAGUGAUACUUGCUUGAUUUUUACCUUGCUCCAUUCCCAUCACUCUCCUCCCCAGCUCUGCAAUAACCUGGAAAACCAUCAACCUGCAAUCAUCUUAAAAACCAGCAGCCUGGAAGCCAGAAGAGCGGCAGAGAAAGGUGCAGAUAAAAUUUCCUCAUGUCAGUAUCUUCCACGCAUUGUUUGCAUUUAAUAGGUGCAGAAAUCAGCAGCCACGGUUUUGCCUUGGUGACGCUAAUGAUUCAAAAGAAAUUUUUUAUUGUCCACCUCGACGUGCAAGAUGCCUCACACGUUAUCUCCUUUGCUUCUUGCAACAACCCUGGGAAGUAAGGAUAAUUAAUCCUGUUUUACAGUGGAAGAAAUAAAGAGUCAGAGAUAAAAUGACUUUCCCCAGGUCAGUCAGCUGGUGUGUGGCAUGUUCAGGAACAGAGUCCAACCCUAAAACUGGGUUCUGCUUGCUAUAACACAGCAUGGGACCAAAACAGAGUACGUUAGCGGGUUAUUUUGGGGAGCUGGAGAAAGCAUGUCUUGUGUCAUCCACCAUAGGGUGCUAUCCCUGUGCACACUGAUUUCGUUCUGCCGUUCCUGAAAACAUGGCAUUGUGUCCUCAACUUCCUCCAUUUAAAAUGGUAGAGUUUCCACCAAAGGCUUACAAAAUCUGAUUUAAGGCAUCUCCUGAAUGAGUGGCUAAAAAGGUUCUCAUUUAAGAUAAAGAUCAGACAGACACUGUUUCUCAUCUGGCUCCAUUAGCAAGAUUCUCACAGAACUGUGCAAGGAGAGAAAAUGGCCAGGAGGUUAAGUUGGUGACAUCUCCAUGUAGCACUCUUGCCGAGGACUCCUGGGGUAGGUGUGUACACACUGAAGCACAAAGUACACAUUGCAUUUACGUGACUGGGCUAAAGGCUUUGCAGAUGUUCUGAAGAACUUUAGGACUGACGGAUUGAGGCAAAUAAUCUCUCAGACCCCUUGAAGCAGCCUUCCUAGAAAG
rnacentral:lncRNA from 1 species